AAAUAAGCAAGCCGCCUAGUCAUGUCAGAAAAAAGGACGUAUCCCUCUGGUGCCGAAAAAGAAAAAGAAAAGGACCGAGGAGGAGAAAAAAGAGCGAGAUAAAGCUAUUGACGUUUACGUUGAGUACAAUUCCAGAUCCCUCUCAGAAAGACGGGGCUCAAAGAAAAGUUUCCCACGGUCUCAUGGAUCUGUACCUGCGUACCAGCUGUAAUAUGGCCAUGUGGAGCUCCAGUAGACCUGCUGAUUUGGCCUGUUCAACAUCCAUAAUGUAAUC